rnacentral:rRNA from 1 species
AGUGAACGCUGGCGGUAGGCCUAACACAUGCAAGUCGAACGGCAGCACAGUAAGAGCUUGCUCUUACGGGUGGCGAGUGGCGGACGGGUGAGGAAUACAUCGGAAUCUACUUUUUCGUGGGGGAUAACGUAGGGAAACUUACGCUAAUACCGCAUACGACCUACGGGUGAAAGCAGGGGAUCUUCGGACCUUGCGCGAUUGAAUGAGCCGAUGUCGGAUUAGCUAGUUGGCGGGGUAAAGGCCCACCAAGGCGACGAUCCGUAGCUGGUCUGAGAGGAUGAGCAGCCACACUGGAACUGAGACACGGUCCAGACUCCUACGGGAGGCAGCAGUGGGGAAUAUUGGACAAUGGGCGCAAGCCUGAUCCAGCCAUACCGCGUGGGUGAAGAAGGCCUUAGGGUUGUAAAGCCCUUUUGUUGGGAAAGAAAAGCAGCAGGUUAAUACCCCGCUGUUCUGACGGUACCCAAAGAAUAAGCACCGGCUAGCUUCGUG